AACGCUAGCUACAGGCUUAACACAUGCAAGUCGCGGGGUAACGAGAGGGAAGCUUGCUUUCCUUGUCGACGACCGGCGCACGGGCGAGUAACGCGUAUCCAACCUGCCCAUUACCACGGGAUACCCCGUCGAAAGGCGGCCUAAUACCGUAUGCAGUCGUCAGAUGACAUCAGAGGACGACGAAAGGAUUGGCGGUAAUGGAUGGGGAUGCGUCUGAUUAGGUAGUUGGAGGGGUAACGGCCCACCAAGCCAUCGAUCAGUAGGGGUUCUGAGAGGAAGGUCCCCCACAUUGGAACUGAGACACGGUCCAAACUCCUACGGGAGGCAGCAGUGAGGAAUAUUGGUCAAUGGGCGCGAGCCUGAACCAGCCAAGUAGCGUGAGGGAUGACGGCCCUAUGGGUUGUAAACCUCUUUUAUGCGGGAAUAAAAUGUUUGACGUGUCAUACAUUGUAGGUACCGCAAGAAUAAGGACCGGCUAAUUCCGUGCCAGCAGCCGCGGUAAUACGGAAGGUCCAGGCGUUAUCCGGAUUUAUUGGGUUUAAAGGGAGCGUAGGCCGCAAGUCAAGCGUGUUGUGAAAUGUAGAUGCUCAACAUCUGAAUUGCAGCGCGAACUGGCAGACUUGAGUGUGCGCAACGUAGGCGGAAUUCGUGGUGUAGCGGUGAAAUGCUUAGAUAUCACGAAGAACUCCGAUUG
rnacentral:rRNA from 1 species